GAUUAAAUGGCUGAUGAAAGCAGUAGAUUGUAAAUCUAUACAUGAAGAUUAUUCCUUCUUUAAUCA
rnacentral:tRNA from 1 species